AGCAGCCGCGGUAAUUCCAGCUCCAAUAGCGUAUAUUAAAGUUGUUGCAGUUAAAAGCUCGUAGUUGAAUUUCGAGAUCAAAUUGUUGGUCGUGCCUCGGUACGUACUGGCAUUAUUGAUUUCUCCCUUCUGACGAUCCGCGAUGUCAUUAAUUUGGUGUCGUGGGGAAUCAGGACUGUUACUUGAAAAAUUAGAGUGUUUAAAGCAGGCUCACGCUUGAAUACAUUAGCAUGGAAUAAUGAAAUAGGACGUUUGAUUCUAUUUUGUUGGUUUCUAGGAUCGACGUAAUGAUUAAUAGGGAUAGUUGGGGCAUUAGUAUUCAAUUGUCAGAGGUGAAAUUCUUGGAUUUAUUGAAGACUAACUACUGCGAAGCAUUGCCAAGGAUGUUCUCAUUAAUCAAGAACGAAGUUAGGGAUCGAAGACGAUCAGAUACCGUCGUAGUCUUAACCAUAAACUAUGCCGACUAGGGGAUCGGAUGAUGUUAAUUUUUUCAAUGACUCAUUCGGCGCCUUACGGGAAA
rnacentral:rRNA from 1 species